CUAGUAUUUUUGGUUGGAGCAUGAGGACUUUACUUCAGAACCCUGAGUUGAGUGCUCCAUGUGGCUAGAAGAAAAGACCCCAGAGAAAGCUGUAGUUGGCAUGCAUCUUGCCCGAGACACUGAAGAGACAUCUGGAACCUCAAAGGAUGCCUCCAUAUCCCAAGGCAGAAAAAUUAAAGGUUCCGUCUCAGAAGAUGAAGAAGAUGAAGAGGAUGGGAAGAUCAUAGCUACAACUACCUCAGAAAUCCUUAUUCCUCCCCGGCAACGGUCUUCCACGCUUCAAAAAAUCUCCAACGCAUGGAGCAGAGUUUUCUCCCGAACGUCUGUUGGCAAGACUGAAUCUACAACAGAACAAGCAGGAGCACAGAUAAAAUGAAACUGUUUAUUUUUUAUUUAUAAAUUUGAGAGAAUAAAUAUUUUCAUUCAAAGAU
rnacentral:lncRNA from 1 species